UCUUACUUGAAAUGUUGUGGGCAUAGAAUAGUAUCUAAGCGUUAUAUCGAUUCAGUGAAAUAAAAUUAAUGUAAUUGUUAGCUAACUGUAGAACUGUAUUCUUUACCGUUGAUAAUUAAAAAAAAACGAAAAGGGACUUUUAACAGUUAAGCUGCUCAUGCUAGUAAUAAAGAUGCUAACGCAGUGACGUUUCUGCCAAAAAUUGAAGCUAAAGAAGAAGGACAGUGAAGACGACCAGUAGAACUGUCUCUACAAGUGGCAUUUAAACGGCUAAAAGGCUCAGCUUGGACUUCAGGACCUUCUGCAACUUCUAAAGUCUAUCACUGAGACCAUCCUGACUGUCUACAUCACAACCUGAAAAAACUUCCCUCAGCUUACUGAUAAAAAGAAAAUUAUUACUGCUGAGCCUAUCAGACAGAGUUACAUAAAAGGAGAAGACCAACACUAUCCUCAAAGAAUCAAAGGGAUGCAGCUGACAGUUUCAUAGCAUCAUGUCCUGCACCACCAGGCUCAGACCAACGCACUUACCGACUAUGGACCUUUACAACUGAAGUCAGUGUGGCCAAGUUUCCUUUAUGUGGUAAACCAGGACUCAAACAUUGUAUGACAUCAUCAAAGAGGGACCUGAGACCACAGAGGAGGUGUCAGCUGCAGAUGGAAGGAACACCAGGAUGGAUCAAACCAGUCAUUCAUGAGCCUCUCCUCUAAGCAAGGCCCGUGUCACGGAUUUGUCUCAGGGAUAGCAGUCAGAGACAGGCUGGGCCUCGUGGUCACCACAUGGAAAAACCCACACAAUAGAAGUGUAAAAAUGAAUGUUUGUGGUUUCACAGAGUUUGGUGUUGGACCUUUCUCUUGGCAAAUUUGAGCCAGUCGCAGUGACUGUGCACGGCAUCAUGACGUCUUGUCAUGAGAGAUGGUGCCGUUAAACUUGUUCAGAGACCAAAACAUACUGGUUCUUACCACAUGCAUCUGGAACACAGCACUGAGAAGCUGACAUCAACAAAUUGAAGAUUCAUCAAUGAAUCAUCAGUUGUGAAAGAACCAAGUUAACUUGAUUUUGUCAGAAAAAUAUCAGCCUCUCAUUUUAGCUGUGUCAGUCUACACAGAGCAAAACAUAACAGCAGGGUCGACUUUUAAUUUUAUGAACACAAUUCUUAAUUUGUCACAUGCUGAAAAGGUUUUAACUGACGACCAAGUGAU